GUGAAUGAUGAUAAAUGCACUGGGCUCUGAGCAGUUAUCACUGCAUUAUUGAUGGAAAUGCAGCCUAGAAAGCUGUUUCUGAUAC